rnacentral:tRNA from 1 species
GGGAGUUUGGCCGAGUGGUUAAGGCGUUGUGUUUAGGCUUCCCCCACUUCUCAGUAAAGUGUGUUAUGGUCAUCCGCAAUGUGCAUCGCACGCGCAGGUUCGAUCCCUGCAGCUCCCA